rnacentral:rRNA from 1 species
AACGAACGCUGGCGGCAGGCCUAACACAUGCAAGUCGAGCGAAGCCUUCGGGCUUAGCGGCGGACGGGUGAGUAACGCGUGGGAACGUGCCCUUUGGUACGGAAUAGCCCCGGGAAACUGGGAGUAAUACCGUAUGUGGUCGAGAGACGAAAGAUUUAUCGCCAAAGGAUCGGCCCGCGUUGGAUUAGGUAGUUGGGGGGGUAAUGGCCUACAAAGCCGACGAUCCAUAGCUGGUUUGGGGGGAUGAUCAGCCACACUGGGACUGAGACGCGGCCCAGACUCCUACGGGAGGCAGCAGUGGGGAAUCUUAGACAAUGGGGGAAACCCUGAUCUAGCCAUGCCGCGUGAUCGAUGAAGGCCUUAGGGUUGUAAAGAUCUUUCAGUGGGGAAGAUAAUGACUGUACCCACAGAAGAAGCCCCGGCUAACUCCGUGCCAGCCGCCGCCGUAAUAC